UAAAGAUCUAGAUCCUCGGUGUGUCUCAUUUUAUAAAUCGAACCGCACCGCUUAAAAAACUGGCUGGUAAUUGACUACAAAACACGAGGAUAAGCCACUGAUCACCAGAAGAUGCGUUAAUUGCUCCGUGCGGUUUGAUGCUUCGAGAGACACAUCUGUCUGCUGAGAUUUCAGGCCGUCUUGGGGAAGGGCGUAUGGUGUAGCUGUGAUUACGCCACGAGCAGAUCCCUGUGGCGCGGCUCCAGCCCAACGGCCUGCACAAGAAUCCCUCUCCUUGCAUUUUUCAUGAGAGAGAGCAGGCCUUCUGCAUGCAGUAUUCAUGACCGCUCUUGCGUCUUCCGAACAAAGCCUGACAUAUCACUGGAUAUGCCACAAUGACACAACUAGCUGUCAGUGUGGUAAAGGUGGGUGAUGACCUGUUAACCCGGCGCUGGGUUCGGUAGCUCGCGAACACAGGGUUCUGUUUUCUUUCACUUUCGUGACAGUUAUGGAUGCCGGUUCGACCGACAGUAUCUGUUUGCAGAUCUCUGAAUCAGAUGGUUUGACUGCGUCCAUUAGUGUCUCUCUGCUGCAAAUGAACUUUAAUGGACACAUUCAGUAGUGUUCAGUACUGAUUAUUUGAGUGUCUUCCUAAAGUUAUGACUUUGUUGGCUACAAAAAACAAUUUAUUUCAUCAUAUGUACAUACACACACCAUUAGAGUCUGACUGUAUUUACUCAAUAAAUAUAAAUAUAUAAUAAAUAUAAAAAAUUAU
ensembl:lncRNA